UCAGUCCUGCCGUGUGCGUUAGCCUUUUAUGUUUUUAACCGUACGAUUUACUAGGGAUUCCAAUAUGGUGUGAUGGAUGCUGGGCCUACUUGGUGAGGAGAGCAGAAAUCAUAAUGCGGAGACCCACCUGCGAGAAAAGCGGGUUGAUAAAACAUCUUGGGAUAACGGCAUAAGUGGGAUUGCC
rnacentral:other from 1 species